rnacentral:misc_RNA from 1 species
CAAGUUUCCUUUGCACUAGUUCCAAAUUUCAAUUUAUUACUCGGAAUUUUCAGAGAUGUGGACAAGCGAAAUUUUAUGCAAAAUUCUUAAAAUCCAGCACAACUAGAUCACUGAUGAUCACAUCGACUUGAAUAUGCACCAAAGUUCCCAGGAAAAGGUACCCGAGUUGGGAAAUUUGUGAGAUGAGAGAGAUAAAUAAGGUUCCUCAAUGAGUUAGAAGUUCGGCUGUAGAACUUUUAAACGUUUUACCGAGAAGGACGAGUACUUCGUAUGAAUCUUCUGGCAGCGGAUUUUAUUGUAAAGAAUACAAUGGAUAGAAGCAUGAACUGCUCAAAACUUUCCAAUUUAUCAGAAUUUGUUCAACACGUUCCAAUUAUUCAUACAUAUCCAUUAUCAUAUCACUUGCCAAGAACACAAAGCACAAAGAAAUUCGCCGCAAAAUUUAUCAUAAAGGAAAUAAAUUCCCAAUUAUUAAAAGAAGAAAGAAAAAAGGAAAUGGAUACUCUGCAUAUUUGAUACUUACAACUCGAUGUUAGUACUGUUGAUUUCGAAUGGUAUAGAGUAGUUGUUGCCAAGGCCCCAUACUCGACUUCGGAAGAUGACCGAGAUACUGUUAAUUGCUUUUUAGCUAUCCAACAAAUAAGAGAAGAAUCAAGAAAGAUGCAGUAGCCUGUAAUAGACUUGCGAGUGUCAAGACAUCAAACCCAAUCUGAGUUACUAAAAGCUUUUAAUUGUAACUCAGAAUUAGCUGAAAAGAAUAAAGCAGUAUCAGGAGAACCUUUUAUACAACGAUUUUUAUAAUGUUAUAAACACUUUAUUUUUUAAGUUUAUAAUAUUCUCCUAAUAAUUGAUUUAUAUUAUAUAUUUUAGGUAUAAAAUUAUUAAUUUAAAGUUAAAUUUUAUUUAUUUCAUAUACGUGGAUCAAUUAUAUAUAGGAGUAGCAAAAAAAAGUAAUAAAAAAUUUAUGUCACGACCCAACCUAUGGG